UCUCGUCGGAAACCACCAGCGCCUCUCGCUGAUCGUGGGUGACGUUGAUCG
rnacentral:sRNA from 1 species